CCUGUCAGGUGACCAAGGGCAGGCUGCCCCUAACCUCGCAGCUCGGGGCACUUGUCCCCUCAUCUGACCGGGCAGAUAUCCAGCCGUUGGGCAAGAAAGCACACUCUGGUCCUUCUUAUUCUGAAUAGGCUGCAAAACACACCAGCAGCUGCAUCGCGCCGGUCAUUAGCUGCUGGCCAGACCUUCAGGGCAGUUACAGCAGCCUUGCCCAGCAGAGUGACAGAAAAGGUUUGGGGUUUCACACUUAUCAGGUUUCCAUUCGCUAGGAGGAGCACGCAGCGCUUCGACCACAGCGGUGAACUCUGGGUGUCCCACCCCCCGCUUCCUGUUGCAGCGGUGAGCUCCACACACUGUACCUUCCCUGUGCUGGAGGCCAGGAAAGACCUGCCUCCGUACCCCUCGCAACCCUGCAGCUUAAGCUAGGCAUCUUUGGGACCCCACACCCUUGCUCUCCAGGCCUGCUCGAGCUGUGUUGUCUUCCUGAGCACGCAACGGCCAACUGCGCCUCCUUCACCAGCACCUGGGCAGUCGCUGAGGCCCCCUCCGCCUGCAUAAGCUGCGGAGCCACCACGGGAGCGCGCCUGGGACACCCCUGACAGUACCAGAAAUAGCUGCGGGAGAGUGGGAUGAGGACCGAGAUCUUAACGCCAAACAGGUGAGACAGGGCUUUCUUUGAGCCAAGUGUUGCCUGGGCUCCGAUUGCCAGCUUCCCAGGCCUCCCAGAGAGCCUGCCCACCACUGCCUGCCUGGCCUCAUUCUGAAGAAAUGCCCCACGGAUGACUGAGGGAUUCGUCACCAUCACCCCCACCAUUUCAAUGGAAUGUUGUUCAGACCUUCAGAAACUGUGCUGUGACAGAUGUCCACUGACAAGACUUGGAAAAUUCUAAAAAAUACGGAAAAACAAAAGAGAAGACCCCCAUAAUCCAACCAUCAGGAGGUGCCUGGAGCGGCUUGGACAUGUGGGUUUCCAGGACUGUGACUGCGUCCUGCUCAGCCCUGACAGCAGGCACUCCAGACAGAUGGGCUGCUCCCCGCAGACCCCCAGUUUUUCAACCCUGAGACGUGGCCACCACUCGCCCAGCUCGGGUUGUCAUAGGGGCUGAUGGUCAGGAAAUGGUCACCAGUGGGCACCUGGAAGGCUCUGGCCCAAGGCAGCCUGCCCAGCACGCAGCUCGUCUCAACUUCGGUGUGGCAGGGAUCUGGAAGGCUCAGGAUUUGGAGAUUCCGGGAGACCCAGGGAGGCCCGGAGUCCAGCAAGGCAGAGCCCCAGGCUGGGAGGCUGCUGAGUCAGGCCCAUAAGGGCACAGGCCAUGCCAAGCCCCGUCCGAGGGUCCCAGCUUUGGAGCCAGUUCGAGUCUUCAGAACACAUGGUCCAGAAGCUUCUCCAGCAGGCACAAGGUAAGGGUAAGUCAGGGAAGGUGGGGGGGGGGCAGGGUCCCGUGUGGGGCCAGGGUCAGCCUGAAGUGGCCUGGCUACAGGGACAGGCUGGGCCAGUGUCAGCAUCCUGAGCCAUCAGCUCCGACUCUCCCACCUCCCUAGCAGGGAGGGCUGCGCAACGGCAGCGCCCCCUCCUGGGCAGUGGGCGACUGCUCCUGAGGCUCUGAGCUGCCGAAUCCUGGAGCCCCGCCCACUCCCCAGGGACAGCCCCAGGAGACCUGGGGCCUUCUAGCACAGCCUGCUGGGUGGACGGCACUUCUGCCCAGCCUGGACAGAGAAGGAGCCUGCAGGGCUGGGGACAGAGGAGGAGCCUACGGCCUGCCGAGAGCUCAGAGAACACACUUCUGCCAAGGGAGGUUCUGCCUGGGCAGCCCUGGGGCCGUGGGCACUUCCCCUUUGGAAAACCCAAAUCUCCCGCCACAGCCCUCUCCCUCAGCGUUUCCAGUAAAUGGUCCCACAUUCCCUCUAGCACCAGGAAGCUCUGGUCAACCUCUGAACUAUCUGCUGACUGCCCCAGCCCCCCUACCCCCAUGUUCCCUCCCAGCCACACACCUACAUCCAGACAAGCCACAUGCCCCACCCAAGCCUUUCAAGGACGUCCCUUUCUCUCAGGAUGGUGCCCCCAGGGCCCUGGCUGCCUUGCCCACCACAUCCCUCUCACCAGCUGGCAGCUGCCCACCCCCAGCCCUGUCCCAUACAAGCACCCUCUUCCUACCUGGGGGCCCCUCUGCCUGGAAGGCACCUGCAGCCCCCAGCUGGGUUUCCCAAAUCAAGACAAAGCCACAACCUCAUACAGGGCCCCCUUCUCUUCUCCCGGUCACCCCUGACCUGUGCCCAGGGCCCCCCACCCCAUGGUGAGGCUUCAGGCCCAACAGCUACAUUUUCCCAGGGGCCCUCCUGCCACACGCUUCACACA